UUUUCCAAAGUUCAAUGAAGCAAACUCAUAACAUGAUGCACAAAAAUACAACAAAUAAAGUUUCGUUGGCUUUGAGUGCAGUGGAACGCGCUCUAGUUCGUAAACAUUUUGCUUAUGUCAAAAGUCAAAACAAAUAAUCAUAAACUGUUUACUUUUACCGCGAUUUUGUUGCUCAAAAAUAGCCGAAAUACUAUUUAAACCCGUGAGCAUUAUAUUUUGGACAAUAUAGACAUAGUGUGCGUGAAGCAGCAUCGGGUUCUCAGUGAUAAUAACCUCAAAAUAUUUUGUGUUCUUGUUUAUCUAAAAUUGUGAAUUAAGUGUUGAUUUUGUGAGUCUUAUAAGUUUCUAACAUUUAUCUAGUGAUGGUAGUGAUUGUGUGAUACGUUGGCGGCGGUUGCAGUGUGCUGAAGGCGGUCUGCAAUAUGAGCUGAUACCCACAAAUAAGGGCAAAUAUUUACUAAUGUUGGACAAGUACACUUACUCACAGGAUCACUUCAGUACAAGUUACUACUGUUCCAGAAGGAAUAUAGGUUGUAGAGCUACCGUCAAAUUGGACAAGUCUGGCAAUAUUAAAGCAGCCAAUACUGCACAUACACAUGAUCCACCGACAUACAUGCGAACUGCUACUGGAGAGUACAUUAAAGUUAGACAUUAAUUAGUUGUACACACGUAUUUCUUAUUGUAGGUAUGUUUGAUAGGGAAUAAAUAUUAUGGCCACCAAUAAUGCUUUGAUACUCUUAGUUUUGUAACCAAAAAUAUCUACUAAACACCAGAAAAAUAAAGUCUAAAAAUAAAAAAGUACCAGCUAUUUUAGUCACGGCUCCAUUUUAAAUUGUAUUCGACCACCAAAUUUUGUAAAUGAUCACCAAAUCUUGACGACCAAAUUAACGUAUUAUUUUUGCCUAAAUAUGUCACUGUGAUUGCCAUAAAAUGUAGGCUUAUUAUCAAAUAAAGUAUUAUGAUGCCAUUUUAAGUUAUGUCUAUAUUAAGUUAUGUGUAUAUAGACUCCACGUAGUCUGGUCUGCCCUACCUCUAGAGUGCAAUUCAAAAUCGCGUAGGCGCGGAGGGGCGAGGCAGAUGGUUUUCACGCUCACCACCGCAACUUCGGCUUGCUGGCCGGCUCGGCCGGCCAGCCUCAGCCGCGUCGGCGAGCGUUAAAACUACCUGCGCCUCAGCUUGCAUGAGACCGCCGGAGCCCCGCAGCCCCGGAGCCGUGACAGAAGCCAUGCUUGCUGCAUGCUGCAUGUUUGCUUCCAUGCUGCAUGUCUACUAACAUAUAAAGUUUGGGAUAACAAUGAUUUAUUUGGACUCAUUUUGCUUAAAUAGGAUAUCAGAAUUUAAAAACUUUGGUUAUAAUUUUACUUUAAAAUGUUGGUUUAGUUUUUUUGAUCAUUUACUAUUUUUGGCUUACUCAUGAUUUACUUGGAGUAAUUUUACUUAAAUAGGAUAGCAAAGUGUUAAAACUUUGGUAAUAAUUUUACUUUAAAAUGUUGGUUUAAUUUUGGUGAUCAUUUACUAUUUUUGUCUGCUAUUUGAUAUCUGGUGGUAAGUUAAACAUAAGCCUAUUUGAUAUAGCAAAAUGAGCUUAAAAUACAGGCUAAAAGCCUGCCUAUACAACCUUUAAUAAUCCUCAUCUCACAUUCCAGGUCUUAGAUAUGAGCUGAUACCCACAAAAAGGGGCAAAUAUUUACUGAUGCUGGAAAAUUACACUUACUCACAGAAUCACUCCAGUAACAGUUACUACUGUUCCAAAAGGAAUAUAGGUUGUAGAGCUACCGUCAAAUUGGACAAGUCGGGCAAUAUUAUAGCAGCAAAUACUGCGCAUACACAUGAUCCACCGACAUACAAGCGAAAUGCUAAUGGAGAGUACAUUAAAGUUAUAUAAUAAUUAGUAUGGAGGAUUUAGUUGUACAACUACAUACGUAUUUCUUAUUGUAGGUAUAUUUGAUAUUAUAACAAAAUGAGCUUAAGAUAUAGGCUAAAAGCCAGCCCAUACAACCUUGAAUAAUCCGAACCUCACAUUCCAGGUCUUGGAUAUGAGCUGAUACCCACAAAAAGGGGCAAAUUUUUACUGAUGCUGAACAAGUAUACUUACUCACAGGAUCACAAAAAACGUACUUUUUACUGUUCUAAAAAGAAUGUGGGGUGUAGAGCUAACGUCAAAUUGGACAAGAUGGGAAAUAUAAAAGAAGCCAAUACCAUCCAUAUACAUGAUCCGCCGAACUAUGUACGCUCUGCUAGUGGAGACUAUAUUAAAGUUUAAGGGGCUCAAGUAGUGGGCAGUGUGCUUGAUUUCAUUUCGGCAAAUGCAUUUUACCAAUGUUACUCGUGCGUGUUUGCCACUGAACGCUAGAUGAUCUUCAUUAAAUGUGUAUGAACAGUAGAUGAAUUAAUUAUCUGAAAGGGCCCAUUAUAAAAAAGGAACCCAGUAAAAUAAAUAUUCAAGUAUCAACGCAAUUUGUAUCAAAUUGGUUGAGCCGUUAAGUAGGAUUUGGGUGUGAACACAAAUUCGUAUUUUGAAUUGUGUGUAUGUGUCCUGGUGAGGGUAGGCAGGAUACUUAAUCAUUAUAUUUCGUAAGCAAUGAACUAGUUUAUUUAUGAUAGAACUAAAGAUACUACGAUCUUGGCUGAUUUGUCUUUGAACUAUGUAUAGAUAUACGUAUCUCUUUGGGCAGGUUUUCUGGCAUCUAACAAUGGCUAAACAUUGAAAUUGUGGUAAAUAGUAAUGUAAGUUUAUAAAUAGUGUAUCUUAUAAAUAAUUGGUAUAUCUUGACUUGAAAUAAAUAUACCUACGAACUUAACAUACAACUGUAUUUUUUUCUUUAUGUCAUCUAUUCCUAUUAAGAUUGGUUUUCGAUGAUAGGUAAGUGAUACAUUUUUUUUGUUUCAGAAAAUAUGAAGUUCAUAGAAACAUUGAAAGGAACGAGAUUGUUAAUGAUAAAUGGAUAUACUUAUUCUCUCAAAAAUCGUGCUAAACGUUGUUACUAUUGCUCUAAGGAGGCUCGGAACUGUAAGAGCCGAGUUCGUAUAUGUAAGAACGGAUAUAUACUUUCCAUGGAUUUGGAACAUAAUCAUCCCCCGCCUGUUUAUAAGGAGGUUGACGGAAGGUACUUGAAAGUCUCAAAGUAGGUUUGGAGUUUGACACCGAUAAUAUGAAGAAUACUUAUAUAAAAAAGUCGUAAUCAUCAGAAUCCUUGUCACACACACCUCAUCGAUCCCCUCGAAAUACAUACGAGAGUAGCAAUUGGUAGUAACUAAUGGCAACUGCUAGCAAUUUGGUAGCAACUCUCUAUGAGUAUUUCGAUGGGAUCGAUUAGGAGUGACAGCGAUAAUGACGAUAUCAAACGAAAGACUUGUCUAUGGCUAUGAAGUCGUACAUAACCCGGGUGUGGUGGGUGUGUCAUACACGACAGGAUUGACGUUUUUCAUGCAAUCUGAGUGAAUUCGCAAUAGUAUUAUGAAAUUUGGUAGUAUUUAAAUUACGUUAUUUUUAAGUUACUGCUAUUGUAUUGGGUAUAUCCCGUAUUGAUACCACGUAAAUAAAUCAAUGAGGUGUUAAAUCAAGGAGAUUUUUUGUAACAUCGUCUAUUUUGAUGAAGUACUGACAAAGGUUUUAAUCAAAAAUAUUUUCUUUGCUUUUGGAUACAUCCUAUUCGUCGACAAUUUAAACCUUUCUUACCGAAUUGCUAAAUGUUUAGCUCCUUUCCUCUCUCUCUCUUUAAACACGGAUUAAAGUUGCACCAAGGAAUAAUAAUAAUAGCGUCCACGGCCGAUUUCGGCCACGGCGGCUAUUCUCAUUUAAGGAGUUUUCAGUUGCGUGACUUUUGCAGUUUUGUUGCUAGUAAGUACAUCCGUGAUACGAUUUUAGUUGAAAUUACUUAAAUAUAAAGAAUCUCACAUAUAUUGUUUUGCAUUUCAGCGAGGGUGGCAUUUAUUAAAACUGUCAAAGGAAGCACAUUAUUAAUGGUCAAUGGAUUUACAUAUUGGCAACAUAAUACGAGUAGAACUAUAUAUUAUUGCUCUAGUAAAACUGGAAAUGGUUGUAAGAGUAGAGUCAAAGUUACUAAAGAAGGAGUCAUUGUUACUUUAAGAGAGGAACAUAAUCAUUCACCACCUGUUUACAAGCAAAGAGGUGGUCUGUACUUCAAGGUUUAAGCUCUACAUUUUGUGAAAAAUAAAUACUUUUCUAGUCAUACUGGCUUUUUACUAUUCCUCGAUUAAUCGUAUAGUCCGUUCUUGUAUGCAACUGGAUCGUGACAUCUUAUUACCCUAGCAUAAAUUAUCGUCCGUACGAAUCACGUCGUCGUAAUCGUCGUUACGGUUAUUACGACAGCUAAUACUUUUGUAACCCGCGAAAACCAGUACCUUUUUAACAUUAUUUGACAUUCCAGAUGACGUGAAAAUCAUAAAAACUGAAAAAGGGAGCAUGCUGUUAAUGGUCAAUGGGUUCACAUUUUGGCAGAGUAGUAAGUACAAAACGAAUUAUUAUUGUUCUCGAUCGUAUUACGGAUGUAAGAGUAAAGCAAAAUUAAACAACGAAGGAUUUAUGAUUGGUUUAAAGGAGGAUCACAAUCAUCCACCACCUACUUAUGUAGUAGGUGAUAGUGGUUUAUACUAUAAGGUUUCCAGAUAAUUGAAUAAAUAAUAUUGAUUUCAAAUAAUUAGUAAUAAUUUUAAUGGAUUCAAAAUAUGUAAUUUAAUAAAUUAAUAAUUUCUACUAAGUAUACUUUGUUUAAUAUCAACACUUGUCUCUCAAAACAAUGUAAUCUGGGAGCACUUCUGUGCAUCCCCUUAGUUUUAGGUAGGCAACAAUGAAAUUACAAUAAAAAAUUGCUAUCGAAUAUAUUCCAGCUAGAUGUUAAGUAGUAAUAAAUGAGCUAUUGUUAGUUUAUAACUUUUUAAUUUAAUAAACAAUCAUUUUGUAAUCGUA